rnacentral:RNase_P_RNA from 1 species
AGGAUCUGGCCGUCCUGCCGCCGCGACAUUGUCGGGGAGGAAAGUCCGGGCAGCACAGAGUGCCGUACUUCCUAACGGGAAGGCAAUGGAUUGGUGACGAUCGGUUGACAGCAAGUGCCACAGAAAUGAUACCGCCUUGGCAUGUUUUUUUAUAUGUAAAGGUAAGGGUGAAAUGGUGGAGUAAGAGACCACCGCUCUUCGGGUAACCGCAGAGGCACGGUAAACCUUACGGGCUGAAAGAUCAAAUAGGUGUUAAUUCGUGGGAUUACUCGUCCCCGCUCUUGGAGUGUUAACACGGGUAGAUCGUUAGAGAUUCCGGGUGACCGGAAUUCUGGAUAAAUGGCAGGAGUUUUACGAAAGUGAAAAUACAGAACCCGGCUUACAGGCUUAUCCUUUUU